GAUGAACGCUGGCGGCGUGCCUAACACAUGCAAGUCGAACGGACUUAUAUUGAAACCUAGUGAUUUAUGAGUUAGUGGCGGACGGGUGAGUAACGCGUGGAAAACCUGCCGUAUACCGGGGGAUAACACUUAGAAAUAGGUGCUAAUACCGCAUAAGCGCACAGCUUCGCAUGAAGCAGUGUGAAAAACUCCGGUGGUAUACGAUGGUUCCGCGUCUGAUUAGCUAGUUGGCGGGGUAACGGCCCACCAAGGCAGCGAUCAGUAGCCGGCCUGAGAGGGUGAACGGCCACAUUGGGACUGAGACACGGCCCAA
rnacentral:rRNA from 1 species